UGCGUAGGCGGAAUGAUAAGUUAGUGGUGAAAGCCCCCGGCUCAACCGGGGAACUGCCAUUAAUACUGUCAUUCUUGAGUAUAGUUGAAGUGGGCGGAAUGUAUCAUGUAGCGGUGAAAUGCUUAGAUAUGAUACAGAACACCGAUAGCGUAGGCAGCUUGCUAAACUAUAACUGCCGCUCAGGCACGAAAGCGUGGGGAGCAAACAGGAUUAGAUACCCUGGUAGUCC
rnacentral:rRNA from 1 species